rnacentral:lncRNA from 1 species
AAGUUGUGUUUAAAACGGACAUGUUGUAUAGAAAUUGAUCUCCACUUUUAAGACAAUGGACCGGUGUUAUUUAAUCAGCAAAUGCAAAUUAUGAUUGGAAAUUAUAGGUUCAGGAAAUAGACAUUCUCAAGUGUAAAGGAUGUUGAUUUCUGUGUUUAAUUGAUAAGAAUAUUACGAAAUAAACGUUAUUGCUGAGUUCACUAUAUUCGUUUAAAUUGAAAAUGUGACCGAAAGUAUUUUUUGGACUAAAGUAAAAUGUUUCUAGUAAGAUCAAAGUCGUGUAUUACAAGAAAGAGGAAAAGUACAAUUUCAACAGCAAAAAUUGUAACCAGACGUUCUUAUUGGAUUUACCAAAAUGGUUUUAGACCUCGAUGUACAAGGUACAGUUGUUUGUGGUUCUUUUUUUAUGUUUUUCAUUUGCCUCUUCAAGUUUCAUGCUUUAUAUGAACGCUUAAUAAUGCUAAAACUAUAUUAUAUUUCUUUCACGUGUAUUAAUGUAUAUGUUCGGGCAGUCAAUAAUAGACACUUAUGCAGUCUACUUUUCAUAUAGGUACGCAUAGAAUGUCAGAAAUGUUUUAUUUAUAUACAAACUUGAAAUCAACCAGGUUUGCUAUUUCUAAAAGUCGUUUUGUUUUUGUUUCGAAACCAGUAUAAUCCGGCAAGGCUCGUAACUUUGUUAACCCUGAAAAUUAAAUGCGGAUGCUCAAUUUGAUUUUGAAUUAGAUAUUUGAAUUCCCAGUCGUUUUCAAAGAAAUCGAAACUGUCUGCAUUGAUAUAGGACAUAUAGACCUAAACGUGAUGUAAACAGUCAUCUUAUAUUUUCUUCUGUAAACAGGAGGGAUAACUGGAUGCAUACUUUACGAAAUCACGUUUUAACCUUUUAAUCGUACAAAAAUUUUAUAGAAUGGAAAAAUAACAAAAUUAAGGGCAGACAAGGUCGGAAGAAGCUGGAGGUUUUUCGGGCUUGGACGGCACAUAUUGAACGUUCUUAAGGCUUGGCUUUUGAGUAAACAAGCAUCUCUAGCGAAGAAAUGACAUGUAUCCUGUAGUUCAGAAAUUAAGAAAAGCAACUGAAGUUACAUCGCUUUUGAGAAAACAUUACUUGAAGGGUGUUGUAUUUUUUGUUUUAAGUCUGCACUGAGUGCAUAGCACCCCUCGACACACGUAUUAUACACUUAUGAUGUCAUAAAUUGAUACUGAAAAAAUAAGGUGUGAUAUAUCGGACACAUUAUCUCCUUUUGGAGUGGUUAAUUGAUUUGUACAAAUAAAUUUAAAAAAAAAGAGAUAUGGAGUAUUUCAAGCAUGUCAACGAGACAAUUAGCAUACCAUCGGUUUAAAAACAGUGAAAGAAUUCUAGAGUUCAAUAUUCGAUCUUAAACAAAAACAUGAGUAUGAUUAUAUCAUGUCACAGUGUUCACAAUUUAUAUGAUUUUUUCCAAGAAAAGUUUUGAAUGAUUUAAACCGAGAAUAUCAGAUAUCUGCCACCAAACUACAACUGACAAGGUUCUGUGUAUAUAUAGGUUUAUUCAAAUCAAUUACUAAAGCUGACAAUAGAAUUUCUAUAAAAUCGAUUUAUUAUACCAUAUGCAAUCGUAAAAUUAAUUUUGUAGAUAAAUCAAAUAGAAUUGUACAACAAUAGCAUUAAUAAAUUAUGCCAUUGUUGUACAAUUUUACAGUUAGGCUUGAAGUUUAUUUAGUUAUAGUUAAUAAAAAGUUCUUAUAUAAAUAAUGUGUAUUCAUAAGCAAAACAGUGAAGGUGUGAAAUCAUGAGGUUAUCAUAUAUAUUGACGUUUAAUAUUCUAUUUUAUAAAUGCUGACGAUGCGAAAUCCAAUUAUAGUGAAAUCUUAGUAAAGAUAGAUACUUAAAAAAAACACGUGACGUGUCCAUAAAAGUCUGGUCAAAGGGCGACAAAUCAAAUCGUUUUUAAGUUAGGACUCUAAUUACAGAUGCAUUUCAUGUUAUUACACGUAGACGUAUGAUAAUGCACCACCCCCUUCACACUCAUCCCCCUAAAAAUGUUAUGAAAGUAAUGUAUGGUCGCAGAAUAAGAAUUCAUCUAGUAUUUGCACUUUAGUUGUUAAUAUGUUAUGUACAAAUGUACUUACAAAGUCAAAAUAAUUAUCGUUCAAAAUACAAUAUUUUUAUUACAGUCGACUUUGAUUAUCCUGUAAUGUUACCCAAUGGACAUUGCCACUUCCAAAUCCAAUUUCGGAAAUAAUCUUGAAUUCAUCAAAAUUGUACAAUAUUUACUAGGCAGCUAAAUUCAUGUGCAACAUGUACAUUGAGCUUAUCAUCUACAUCCGAUUUCACCUGGAUAGAUGUACUCUUGAUAAAGCUAGUUGGUCUAGCGAAAUAUUGCGUUCAUUUUUAUCGCAUUGUAAAUAUCUUUAACAUUCUAAUAUUUACAUACUAAAUAGUGUCUUAAAAUUACAUUGUUAGGCAAUUAAAAAUGAUAAAGAUACAUUUGUACAUAUUUUUUUAUUCAAAUUAAAGGGCCAAUGAUGUGGAAAGCAAUUUAUGACAAUGACUUUUUAUUAUGAUUUUGAGACUGUAAAAAUAUUGACAAUCAUAUAUAAAUAUACAUUCAACCAGUUAAAUUUUAUGAUCUUAUGCUACAGCCUGGCAAGAACCAUAAGCUUAUGGCUACAAAAGCAGUAAUAAAACAGAUUAUGUAUAUUUUAAAAAAAAAAUAAGAAUAUGAAGAGUUAACUUUUUACUCGGUUACAUUAUAAAGUUUGUUAUUUGAAAUGAGAAGUUGUUCCUUCUUAAUAAAUUGUGAAGUUUGUGUUUAUUCACCUGAUUCCGCAUUUAUAAUAAUUUACGUGAACUUGUAUAAAUAUACAUGUGAACUAAGAAUGAUGACUCGCUGAAUAUGCAUGACCCUUUGGUGGCCCUCGGUGGCCCUCGGCUUUUGUCUGCACUUUGGUCGGGUUGUUGUCUCUUUGACAUAUUCCACAUUUCCAUUCUCAAUUUUAUGAUGUAUUUGCCCCUGAACGUUAAAUAAACGCAUUAAUAUGUAUAUGAUUAACUUAUUUUAGUAGUCCCAUCUUACAUAAUAAGUUUGAUGUCAGAGACACCAUAAAUUUCAAGCGAUUAGUUUGAAAAAAACGUAACAAUGUAUGUUUUCCUCGUUACAAAUUCCUCAUUGAAUACUAAAAAUAUAAUUAGAAUUUAAUUCGUUUUCUUCUAACAUGCACAAAUUUGCUUGACAUUUCGGAAAUAUUUGCUCUAGGUCAUCCUCAUAGUUAAAAGUAACUAAAAUCAAUCUAGAGGUCAAAGUGUGAACAUACUUGAAGUAUUUCUGCAUUAACAAUGAAACUUAGAUAUGAUUUACUACUGAGAAGGUGCAUCUGCACAACACGUAGCAUUCAAAAUGUAUGUCAAUGAAGGACGACGUCUUAAUAACACCUGCUAUGACUCAGUUUUAAAAGUUACAUGUACUGAAAACAUGUAUGAAGAUAGUACAUUUACGGUUAAUCCAUAUUUUUACAAUUAAAGUUGCAUAGUACCACCUUUAAAAAUCGUGGAUCUGCGUCUAACGUACCGGUAUCAAAUCAAGAUUACAUAAGAAGUCUUAAAAGCAAACAAUAUUUAUGUGAAACAUGCAAUAAUAAUAGUCUGCAUGAUAUACACAAUAUUAUUUAUUAUGAUGUUAGUGUUUAGUGAAAAAGGGGGAGGGGCGGGGGUGGGAGACAAGAAAGACAACGUCAAGCCGAUGAUAGAAAAAAAUGGAACAAUGUUUUAACCAUUGUAUAUACUUUAAAACUCGUCAGCUUUGUUCUUAGUUCUAUUCAUUUUAUGUUUGUGUAAAGAAGAAAAUUACACAUAUAAACGUUGUUUAGUGCAAGACUUUUUAUUUAUUAUCAUAGAGUGUUAAUAAAUAAUAAUAACCUGAAUUGCUGUAUCAUAAAUCAUGACGAAAUAAUAAUACAUUGAUUCCUCGCUGUUAAUGAUCGCCUUAAAUUGUUUUCAUGAUAAAUGCAGGCGGAUACUAUUAGAAAUUGUUUUUGAUAUCGAUUUAAUAUCGAUGUGCUAUAUAUUGAAAAUUGUAAAUAUCUACUUAAUUGGGAGAUUUCUGGACACUAUAUGACAAGAUAGCAUGGUUACAAAUCCUUAAGUAGGCGUCUACUUUACUAUAGUGUUGUAGGUGUUUGGUAAAGUCACACUUUUUAUUCCUAUACUGUUCCGUCUGGAUAGAAAUAAACUAUGGAGGACAUUUUUAGACUCCGUUCUAAAUCGUUUACAAAUUUUAAGAAAAAAUCUCCAGUUUUAUCUAAAGUUGAUGCGUUAAGGAGAACAACUUGGACAAAAGAGGACUUUUUUCGUCGAAGAUGCGCAAGGUAAAUCUUUUGUUUAUAUUGAUUUUUAACUAAUUGAAAGAUAAAUGUUUGCAGUUUCAAAUUUUGGGGAAAAUUUUGAUUUUAUAUUUCCAAUUAUUACGAGCUUUUUUUUUUAAAUUUCAAAAACUAACUGCUAUUUAAAUAUCUAAAACUUAUUACUCUCUUUAUUGUAAUAUUAUCAAAAAUUGUUUGCACAUUAACAAAGAUGUGAAAAAAGAUAUGAUAUACAAAUGUACAUUGGUAUUUCCAAUUAGAUCUAAGUUUUAAAAAAAAUAACUUGUGUUUUGGGGUCACUUCCCCCACCUUCCUUGUGUAUAAGCCUUAAAUUAAUUACCUAUAAUAAUAGCUUUUUGUUGGCAUUUCUGGCAUUACUCAAGGUAAAACAGUUCAGCAAAAUAAAUCUCUACCUACCCUAUCUGGCCCAAUGAGAAAUACAUAAACACAGCCAUUUUUGUUUGGCCUAAUGCCUGGUUCUCUGCGGUUUCCUGUCCAUCUUCGUUUGUCACUGUCUUUUUGAGAAAAGGAACCUCUUCAUCAUGACUAAACUGACACAUACAAAACAAUCACUGCGCCAAGAUUACGCAAUAGAGAAGCAGAAGCUUCGUGAAAUUAUUAUUAAGAGAACCCGACAAAAAUUAGGAAAAGCAUUCUAGAUAUUACUUCAUGUUUUCGUAGCUGACACACCAAAAUGUUCUCUUAUAUACAGAAAAAAAAAUGUUAUAAAAAAAAACUUUUUGCAUGUUUAUCAAAUUGAAUCUUUAUCAUUAAAUACUUUUAUAUGAUUUAAUCCCUUUCGAUAGCAAACCACUUUUCAUAAAAGCAAAAAAAGACAAUUUUAUACUUAAACGCUUUCAAUAACCAAAUGAAACAACAGUUUUAUUUGAACAACAUAACAAUUACGAUAAAUUGCCCCGUCAGGUCUAUUUCUUACAAUAUAGCGUUUGUGUUAUUUAAUGAUAGUUAUUGUGUUUGGUCGUUACCUAGAAAAAACAGAUCGAACGAGAAUAAUCAUAAAAUAACAACUAUGCAGGAAAUACGCUCUUGGGAUUUGAAAUAUCACGUAAAGUGUGAAAUACCACAAUGCUUGCUUGGUGAAACUAAUUCUCAGUGAACAUUUUUUUUGCAUGACUUUAUUUCAAAGGAAAGAUUGUUCGAUUUUUUUUAGGCCAGGGGAGGUGGGAAGGGCGAUUUGGGAAUUAAAUUGUUCCGAUAAAAACUGAAAAAAAUAAUUACACGUCAUCAGGACCGAUUUUAUGUUUUACACGUCAUCAGGCUCAAGGCCGAAUUUUUGAAAGCCAAGGACAUAUAAGAACUGAAAAAAAUGAAUGUAUCAUUCUUUUAAUCUUAUUAUGGCCCCGCCGUAAUGUAGGAGGUAUUAAACGUUUUACUCUUGUCCGUCUGUACGGUACGUACGUCCGUACGUCCCAAAAUUUGUUCCCGUUCUCUAACUUUGGUUUACCUCAACCAAAUGUUAUGUAACUUAUACACAAUAAAAUUGAGAAAGGAAAUGGUGAAUAUGUCAAAGCGACAACCACCCGACCAUAGAGCAAACAACAGCCAAGCAACAAUGUUCAUGUAGCGAGGACCCGCACCUAGCUGGCCUAAAAUAUGCAUAAUAGUACAGUGAUAAUGGACGUCAUACUAAACUCCGAAUUAUACACAAGAAACUAAAAAUUAAAAUCAUACAAGACUAACAAAGACCAGAGGCUCCUGACUUGGGACAGGCGCAAAAUUGCGGCGGGGUUAAACAUUUAUGAGAUUAACCCUCCCAUACCUAGCAAUGUAAGAAAAGUAAAAGAAUAACAAUCGCACAUUAAAAUCAGUUCAAAGAGAAGUCCGAGCUGAUGUCAAAAGAGUAACAAAAAAAUAAAUAAAAGAAAAUACAAAAUACAACAGACUAUAGCAGAAGACAAUCCAGACCUCAAUUAAAUGAUUGAAAUUAUGUCUUCAUCAUAAAUAUCAGGUACAAUCCCUCCCUUAGGGGUUAGUAUCAUACUAUAUAAAAAUAUGAAAGAACAUAACGUGCAUGCCAACAACUGUUUUUGAAAUAAAUGUGUUAUUCCGAUGCAACCUAUCAGUGAAUCAUGUUAAAGCAAAAUAGCAUCUUUAAUGACCUGCAACAGUAUCGUAACUAUAUCCUUUUAAAAGUCUAUUUAAAGUUUUGUUAGUUUUCUGAGGAAUACUACAUUUUUGUGCUUUAAGAAUAUUCCAUAAAAUUUUGGAUGUGAAUACCUGAGUAUAAGAUUCGCAUUUGAUUAGUUUACGAAUAUUUCCUUGAUACCGGUGAUAAAUAGUAUGAUUUUGACAGUUGUGAUAUCGAAAACCUGGUGAAUAAUUUUUCAGUAAUACAUAAAUUUCUUCUCGCUAAAUAUUGUACAUACGAGCGAAUCGUACAAGUGAAAUAUAACACCAUAGAUGUGACAAGGGAACAUUCUAAAAGGAUAAUUAACAUAGAAUAAAAUCAUCUCUUUUAUCAUAAAUUUUGUAUAGCUUCCCGUUAGAUAUAGAGAUAAUGAUGAGGAAAGGCAGUGGUCUUGUUAUCAUUAGCUUAUUUAAAGUAAGUUCUACAGGAAAAUUUCUUUAGUAUACAUACUGAAGUCGUCAUUAUUUAGAGCAAUAUAUCAUCCAAAUAUCUAAAGUAUUGUUAAAUUUUUGUAUCAAAUGUUUUUUGAUGGUCUUUGCUAAUUUUAGUCAUAAAUUGUAACUCAAACAAUACAAACAGUCGCAAUAAGUGGUGCACAGUUAGUCCCAUUGGAAUUCCAAUAACUUGACGAUAUACGGAAUCUCCAAAGCGAACAAAAAUGUUAUCAAGUAAAAAUUCAAGUACAUAAAUAGUAUCAAGCAUGUCAAUUGACAUAGUGCUUUUGUUAUUGCUACUAAAAAAUGAUCUAAAAAGAGUUGAACAUAUGUAUCGCAUUCCGACUUUUAAAUGCCCAUUAAUAGGGAUGUAAUUUUUUCUUAAUAAGAAUAUGAGCAAAGUGGUAUAAGGUAGAAAAUCAAACUUGAACAGAUUCAAAAUCACCAAUAUAUGCAUGCAAUUUAUCAGUACUUCCAACGAGUUUUUGACACUCCAAAAGUAAUUAAUUCCACUAUUUUCAAGCUUAUUUGAACAAUUUAUAUCAGGUUUUUAUUGUACCAAGUGUACUAGUAAGUAAAACAGACAAUUUAGUAGUUGAACAAUGGUGGAAGAUGAAUAAAUCUAUAUUUGUAAGGUUUUGUGCAGCUUCGGAAGCCGUACAUAGUUGGACUUUCAUUGUGUUUGGUUUCUGUAAAGAAGUAGCUAAAAGUUAUGUUUGUAAGAUCGUUUUCUGAAAAUGAAGUCAGUUGGAAUGUUGGUGAAUUCGUGAUUUCCUUUGCAGAAACCUCUAUAUAAAAUUUACGUCAAACAAUAUGAUAUUUAUUAGCAGCUUAUCACCGGACAAAGAACAAUUCCUUGGCUAGUUCUGUAGUUUAUUUUAUACGCGAAAUAGGGUUUUUAUAGUGCUUUUAUAAUGCUUAUUACCACAAAACAGAUCAAGUUUGAAUUUUAGGGGUUUCACUUUAACCGUUCUAUAGUUAUGCCCUUUACAAAUGAAAAAAAAAUGAUGAAUUUUUUUGUUUUCUUUUAGUUUUCGUUCCCUUACGUUAGUUCGCCUGGACCAAAUGUAAUGAAACAUAAAUGCAAUGCUAAUUACCACAAAAUACAGAUCAGGUUUGAAUAUUGGUGGCGUCACUUUUACCGUUCUAGAGUGCUGGAAAAAAUGCUGAUGUUUUGGUUUCUGUUCCCUAGCUUAAGUUUGCCUCAAUUAAAUGAUAUGAAUCUUAUAAUCAAUGCUUAUUACCACAAAACUCAGACAAAGUACACAUUUGGGGAGGGUCACUUUUCCAGUUCUUGAGUUAUAUUCCUUUAUAACGUUAUGUGUAAGCGGGGGCAUCAUCUGUGUCCCAUGGACACAUUCCCCAUUUAUUUAUCCUCGAGUAUGUCUGUUCAUUGUAAUUGCAUCAUAAUUAAGGUCUUUCCUUUUACAAAAGGGAAAGACCUUACUGUAUUUCUUCUGUUUAUUAAGGUCUUUCCUUUUUACAAAGGGAAAGACUUACUGUAUUUCUCUGUUUAUCUAUAUUAUUAUUAUUAUUAUUAUUAUUAUUAUUCUUUUUCCGCAAACUUUUACAAUUUAGCCGCAUUACCGUAAGACGUGUCGCUUUCAUGUCACACUUUGUAUCCGUGAUGAAUACCUAUCUGGAACUCACCUGUUAGUCGAAUAUUUGUCGGUUCGGAGUAUCCCUCCGACCCAAAACCUUGUUAUCGUUCCAAACGUACCGUAAUAGGUAGAAAAAAAACAGGGUGAAAUUUGUUCAGGACCUGACCCCGGUUCUUCGUUACAUUUGAUCGAAAAGAUUCAACGACUCAUUGGUAGGGUUAUGCCCUAUGAAAAUUAACCGGUGUCGGUUGGCCACCAAAACUCAGAAACCGUAAGUCGUAGACACCUAGGAUCUUCACCAUUCAUCGUCAGUUCAUGUGACGUCAAAUAAUACCUCAAGGUCAAAUGUGUAUGUUGACCUUGAACUUUGACCUAUCAACUUGUUAUGGGAUAAUCUCAAAAACCAUUAUACUUACAGAAGUUUGAAUAGUGGAAAUGUUUGGGUCAUUAUGGCGCAACAUUGUUAAUUUUGACCAAAGAGAUUUGACUUUUAAUAGGGGAUAACCCUGUUUUAGGUUUCUGAAAAGACAAAUCAGCUUUUACUAUGUACCAAAGGUCCUAGACCCAUGGGGUCUAUCAGCAUGACAUUGGGACUAAUGCCUUGACAAAGGUAAAGGUCAAAGGUCAAGGUCAUGUCCAGAUAGCGAAUUAAGUGUUUUAACCUCAUAUAAUGGAUUUUAGUGGGUUUUCAAGCUUUGUACGGUUGACCUUGACUUUUUCAAUACAUUCUAGUCUAUUAGAACAUGUAUUUUAUUACAAAAGGAAAGACCUCUCAAUUGUUCAGAACAAUUGACAGUUUAAUUAUUAUUAUUAUAUUAUUAUUCUUUUUCCGCCAACUUUGACAAAAUUUAGCCGCGUUAACCGUAAGACGUGUCGCUUCAUGUUCACACUUUGUAUCGGUGUCAUGAAUACUAUCGGAACUCACCCUGUAGUCGAAAUAUUUUGUCGGUUCGGAGUUAUCCCUCCGAAACCCAAAAGCCUUGUUAUCGUUCCAACACCGUAACCGUAAUAGUGAGAAAAAAACAAAGGGUGAAAUUGUUCAGGACCAGACCCCGGUUCUUCGUUACAUUUGGAUCGAAAAGAUUCAACGACUCAUUGGUAGGGUAUGCCCCUCUGAAAAUUAACCGGUGUCGGUUGGCCACCAAAACUCAGAAACCGUAAGUCGUAGACACCUAGGAUUUCACCAUCAUCAUCAAUUCAUGUAUCUUUGAAAAAUACCUCAAGGUCAAAUUGGUAUGUUGACCUUGACCUUUGACCUAACACCUUGUUAUGGGAUAAUCUCAGAAACCAUUAUACUUACAGAAGUUUUAAAUAGUGGAAACUGUUUGGGUCAUUAUGGCGCAACUUUGUUACAUUUUGACGGAAGAGAUUUGACUUUCUGUAAGGGCAUAACCCCUGAUUUAGGUUCUGAAAGACAAAAUCAGCUUUUACUAUAUAACCAAAGGUCCUAGACCGUGGGGUCUCACAAUGACAUUGGGGACUAAUGACUUGACAAAGGUCACAAGGUCAAAGGUCAAGGUCAUGUCCAGAUAGCGAAUUAUGUGUUUUUGACCUUAUUUUAAGCAUUUUGAGUGUUUUUAAUGUUUUUAAAGGUUGACCUUGACCUUUGACCUUUCAACUUUUUUCGAUAUCUCAAAACGGUUAAUCUUACAGAAAUAGUAAACAGUGAAAAAUGUUAAGGUGACUGAGGCACAACUUUUUUACAUUUUGACCGAAAGUAUUUGACAUAUUCUUAAGGGGCAUAACCGCCGUUAACGGUUUUCUGAAAAGUAAAAUUAGCUUUAACUCUUGAACGAAAGUCCUAGACGUCAUGGGUCUUUUACAAUGACAUUGGACCAAUGACUUCACAAAGGUCACAAGGCAAAAGUCAAGGUCAUGUCAAAUUAUCGAAUUUAUUGUUUUUUGUCAUUUUUAGCGGUUUUAUGUGUGUUUGAGAGCUUUUUCAUGCAUUCUACGCCUAUUGGACAUGUACUUUACAUUUCGAAAAGGAAAGACCUCUCAAUUGUUCAAGAACAAUUGACAUUUUAAUUAUCUGCUUAUAUUUUAUUAUCUAUUUAUAAGUAUUGGUCUCAGUCGAUAUGUUGUCAUUGGAACGUACGAACUGGGAAAAUAUAUUCAACACAUGUGGUGUAUAGAGGUCAGGAAGGGGAUUUUGGACAAGUACUAGUUCAGAAAAGCUAGGUUAAAUUUCCUGAGCCGCUAAUUUAAAAAUAUAAAAUAAGGAGAUGUCGUAGGAUUACCAAUGAAACAACUAUCUACCAGAGACCAAAUGACGUAGAUGUUAGCACCUAUAGGUCACAGUACGACCUUCAACAAUGAACAAAACUCAUACUGCAAAUCAAGCUAUAAAAGGAUAAAUAUAACAAAACUUAUAAAAAAACAGCGGUCUAACAAAUGUAAAAGAAUUAAUAAUAAACGAAAAUCAAAUAUGAUAUGUAGCAACAAACGAUUACCACUUAAUUACAGGAUCUUCACUUGGGACAUGCUUAUUCAGAGUGUUGCGAAGUUAUACAAGUUAGCUCCUAACCCUUCCCUAACCUCGGACAGUGGUGCAACAACACAAUGCAACAAACAAAAUCAUCAUAAUAAACAGUAACGAACGAUCAUCACUUAAUUACGGGCUACUAAUAUGGGACAUGCACAUACUGAAUGUAGCAGGGUUAAAAGACUAAUUUUACUAAAUACACUAGCCAUAAUACCAACCAAUGUAAAUAAACGAUAUCUAAAUAUAUUUUUUUCAAAACAUGUAGAGCGCUCCGGCUGCCACUAAACUAUCUAUAAUUCCUGCUUUUUGUCAAUCCAUUUUGUCAUCUUACCAUGUCAAAAAGAAGACCCUUGUUUAUCUCAAUCACAUUCUUACACAAGAUGCAACCGUCUUUUCAUGCAGGAUUCAAUGGCCUUUUAAAAUCACCAAUUUGUAUGUUUGGUUGAAAUAUAACAUGUAUAAACCGUGAAAUUCACAAUCCAUGAUUGCUGCAUUAUAGAAAUAAGAUCAGGUAGAUCCCUGUCACAAUUUGAACAAAUAUGAUAGUAAUGAUAUACUAGUAAGUACACACAUUAAUAUUCAUAACAUAAAACUUAGUACUAGUAUAUAAACUGAGUUUUGCAAACAAUUGUGAGAUCAGACCCUUUCACUGAAUUUCAUAAUAUUGAACAUAUAAUGAUAUAUUUCGUAAGUAUAGGGAAUGGCAUUGUGGGCUGUUAAAGUAUGUCUAUACAUGUAAUAAAAUUAACGGUACCAAUUUUCUUGCACCAGAUGCGCAUUUCGACAAUACAUGUCUUUCGUGAUGCUCGUGGCCAAAAUAUUUGAAAUCCAAAGCUUAUAUAAAAGAUGAAGAGCUAUAAUCCAAAAGGUCCAAAAAGUAUUGUAAGUGUAAACCAAUCAUAAAGACAUUUGUAGAUUCCAAUGAGACACAUUCAAACCGUUACAUAGCAAAAUUAAUGCUCAAUAUUGUCCUAAUUUUCCAUUUCCAAAAUACACGUUUUUAGUUAGCAAACUUGUAAAUGUGUGACAAUUCAUGCCGGCUUUUUAACAUUAUAAUUUGCACCUCUCGUACAAAUGAUUAUUUGCUGCCAAUGUUGCUAGCAAAUAUUACAUACGUAAGGACAUAAGGCGUCAGGACAAGAAUUGAAAAUAAAUUUAAAUAAAUCAGAAAAUGCUCGAUGAAGGCGUCGAAAUAGUAAGCUCUGCAAUUUAAAGUGCAAAAUAAGGAAGUAAAUGUAAUGUCAAUCUCACGACAAGACUUUUAGUAUUGUUUCAAAAUGUUCAUGAUGCUAAGGUAAGAAAUUUUUAUGUAACAUGCUGUAGUUUCAGACACACAAAAAAUGUGUAUUUUUGUGUGUUCUUAGGGAUUGGUCAUUAUCUUUCACCAAAACAAGGGGCGCUACAAAUUAUUUUGAAAGACUAGAAAAAAAAUGUAAUGACCCCCCUUCUUCUAACAUAAAGAAACCUCACUCCCCCUUUUUGUCCAGGUUCCAAAAUGUUUUUUUUAUUUUAUUUUCCUGCCCCCUGGAUAUAGAUAAUGACCGGUCCACUAAUACUACACACACACAAACGCACGUAUUUCGUCUUUAAUCAAACAAUAUAACUAGGACUGCUUUUUUUACUUGAAAAUUUGUUUAUCCAUGUAGCGGACUUUACUCAAGCUGUGGUAAAUAAAUAGAAUAUGGGUAGCGAUAUAGAAUAGCUGUACAUAGCUAUCAGGACUGAGACUAAAUUGGGGUUGAAUGAGUACAUUAAUGGACAUCUUGAAAUCUUUAAAAUGAACGGGGAGCGUUUUCAGAUGCAAAACCGACAAAAUCACACUUACGGCUUACAGUCGAAAAACAAUAUUUCUUAGGAUAACAGAUUCGACCACAAGACAAUUCUGGAAAAUGUGGCAUUUAAAAAAAUAUCAAACAUAUCGUAUGAAAAUUGUAUGCCAAUAAGUACAUAUUGAUAAUUUAACUGAUACUGAUCUAUAAUAUCCUCUGCAUUGAGAGUAGGGGGAGGAUGGCAAAGUAACUGAUGGGGUGGUUGCUGGUGGGCGGGUGUUUGCGAACCCAUCCUGGCUAAAGUGAGAACUGUUUGACUUCGUCAUUUAGAUAUUUCACCUUGUAGUUACAGCAACGUAUGAUGAUCUACGUUGACAAUUGAAAGUUCAAAAAACAAUUUCAGAAGGAUAUAUUAUAUAAUAUGAUAUGACUUAAUAGUGUAUUUGGUAUAAUAAUUGAUAAACUUUCUAAUAUUUAGAAAUUUAUUCUGCACAUGGUAUUUAAUCGAUUUAAACAUUGUAAUACGUGUUCAGUUUAAUAUCGAAAAAUCAAUGUAUUAUAGCUAAAACCACGCGUUUUAUCGACAGGUCAUCUUCAAGAAUUAACUCGUCAAGAUCAUAAAUUGAACGGUCUUUAGAAUGGGGAGAUCUAAACACUAAAAUAAACUGUCCAUUGUAAAAUUGUCAUACUGUUGCAAGGAGAGGAUGUAAAAUUGUUUUCAUCAGAAUUUCACAAUCAAGAAAUAUGAAGACAAUACACAAAAAAGACACCCGUAGAUAAUAAAAUAUCAAUAUGUGUACGUCGUAGUGUUGCUCGUUGAUGUAUAUCGUUUUCGGGCGUUGGUGGUCUGUGACUGACACUGUCAUAUAUUUUUUGGUAAUCCCUCUUACCUUUUUUAUGAUACAUAUGUCUGUAGAUAACAUGUAGUAUACACAAAAUGUAGUAUCUAAAGUGUUGGUACUGACACAAAACACCGUAUGUGAAUUAAAAAACUUUAUAAAAGUACGCAACACCUAUCCAUGCUAUCGGUCGUCUUCUCUACAUUGUAAGUUGAAAGCUGUGGUUAUGAGUAAGACCCGUGUUGUGUCAGGAUCAAUUAGAGAUAUAGAGUCAUAGUAUAAAACAUAUCCCGAAAAACUAUUUUAAUUUUGAUAAUGAUUGUGUAAACAAAUGAGGCAUAAUAGUAUAUACUUUCAGGAAUCUUCGGAGUCACUUUUUGAAAUUGAAGACCGUUACAGUACAUUGUAUUAAUUUAAUAUAUUAUGCAGGUUUCUAGAUAAGUAACGAAUAAUGACUGUAAAAUAAUGUAAAGGUUACAUUGAGUAUCAGUAAAUAAGUGUAAAAAUUUUAUAAAACCAAAGCACAUAUAUUGAAUUCCCAUCCCGCUCUUACAUGUACUAGCCACCUUCAUGUUCGUCCUCCAUAGCGAUACUGAUUGUGAUAUAAAAAAGAAGAUGUGGUAUGAUUGCCAAUGAGACAAUUAUCCACAAAAGACCAAAAUGACACAGACAUUAACAACUAUAGGUCACCUUCAACAAUGAGCAAAGCCCAUACCGCAUAGUGAGCUAUAAAAGGCCCCGAUAAGACAAUGUUAAACAAUUCAAACGAGAAAACUAACGGCCGUGUUUAUGAAAAAAUGAACGAAAAACAAAUAUGUAACACAUAAACAAACGACAACCACUGAAUUACAGACUCUUGACUUGGGACAGGCACAUACAUAAAUAAUGUGGCGGGGUUAAACAUGUUAGAUGUUUACCGUCGCGUUCGAUGUAACGCCCGUUUAAUUCCAAAUUAGAGUUUGUUAAACUUUAUAAAGGAAAUACAAUUAAAAUUAUAUGCGUCAUGAAUUUUAGAUGCACACACAAUUUUAAUCAUGCUACCUACAUUUUACGAAUCCCCUUCCCUGCUCUUACAAACUACCUUCAUUUUUUUUCUCGCUCACCAUCGAGUUUUUUUUCAUUUCCAUUCCACUUGAAAAAUAUGACAAUAGCAAUAAGGGGAGUGAUGGACUCGACGGAUUAAGUCCAAAUAAGAUUUGUGCUAAACUUUAUUGAAAUACAUUUGAGCUGAGGAAAAAUACAGGAAAACGUAAUAUCAUUUUCACCUCAACAUGACAGUUUUAUUCAAUAAAAAUAUAUUUCUUCAUUCAAACCGUUAAUGUCUGUCUUAUGAAUGAAAGUAUAAAUAUGCGAGUUUGAAAAGACAUGGCUUUACCGUAUUAAAAAAAUCUUAGUCAUGUACUGCAAUACUUAUUUACUAAUGUUUUUGUGUUUAUUUAAUCUAAAUUUUCAACCAACACUCGAAUUUACGAGUUAACAUUGUAACAGUUUGUUUUACCAAACAACCCUAUUUCAUUUGAUGCUUGCUUUAAAUGAUAAAUGAAUUAUGAUAUAAAGUCUAAAACAUAAUAUCAAAUGUUCACUAUCAUCAUUAUAAUCAUACUCCAUAAAUAUCGAAAUAUCCCAAUUAAUUUGUAAUCUCAUAUAUCGUGUAAAUGAAAUGUAUUUUAUCUCCUUUGCGAUGACAUACAGAAAAGUAAAUCAAACUGUUGGUUGCAUAUAGAUUUAACCUUGACUAUGUUUCCAAGAAAUAUUAAUCAAUUGUGUAAUUUAAUUUGCAUUAAGAACCAGAAAAACAUUUAGAACAUUUAGGAUGAUUGAUAUUUCAUAUUUCAUUUCUCAUGUUUUUCUUUUACAGCUCUCCGGCCUCUGACCUUACCGGAAGACGUGAUGUGUUCAGCAGACGACAAUACGGUUCUGUAGAACAGUUAAAU